CCUACGGGGAGCAGCAGUGAGGAAUAUUGGUCAAUGGACGAGAGUCUGAACCAGCCAAGUAGCGUGAAGGAUGACUGCCCUAUGGGUUGUAAACUUCUUUUAUAUGGGAAUAAAAUGUUGCACGUGUGGGAUUUUGUAUGUACCAUAUGAAUAAGGAUAGGCUAACUCCGUGCCAGCAGCCGCGGUAAUACGGAGGAUCCGAGCGUUAUCCGGAUUUAUUGGGUUUAAAGGGAGCGUAGGUGGAUUGUUAAGUCAGUUGUGAAAGUUUGCGGCUCAACCGUAAAAUUGCAGUUGAAACUGGCAGUCUUGAGUACAGUAGAGGUGGGCGGAAUUCGUGGUGUAGCGGUGAAAUGCUUAGAUAUCACGAAGAACUCCGAUUGCGAAGGCAGUUCACUGGACUGCAACUGACACUGAGGCUCGAAAGUGUGGGUAUCAAACAGGAUUAGAUACCCCUGUAGUC
rnacentral:rRNA from 1 species